AGUCUGACUGUGAGGUCAGGCUUUUACCGUGUUUUCUCGCCUCUAUUCUCUCCUGCGAGCAAGGGCUGGUUUUAGCUCCUCUUGUUUCGCAAAGUUAGUGUUCAGACCGCCAGCUGACUCCUGGGAAGAAGCAUUAAUGGAAUUUCCUCCAGUAUUUUCAUAGCAACCUUCAGAUGAAAGUGUAGAACUCUCAGCUCCUCCUGCAUCAUGACUGCCUGGGGCUGCCAUGUUCCUGCCUUGAUGAUAAUGGACUGAACCUCUAAACCUGUGAGGAGAGGUCAUAGCAGGAAGUCUGCUACAAAGCUGGGGGUGAUAAUGGGCGACUCGAUUUGGAAGAUUGGAGAGAAAGGUAAAGAUCUGCUGUUGACCUGUGUGCUUUCCUGCCUGAAGGGCCCUGGGGGUUCCCAGGGAACCUGCAGAAGUUUCAGGCUUGGACAGAUGCAGCAUUCGGUCUGUUGCUCAGUGUGGGAUGAGACAAGGGCAGUGGAUUUGGAGGAGCUGUGUGAGGAAGAGAGGACUGGUUGUUCUAUUUCUGAGAUCUCUGAGACCCAGCCCACCAGGAACACACAAAUGUGGAACCGAGAUAGGCUGAGGACUUAUUAAACAGAAUUCUGCUGUUCCUAUCCCAGGGUUGGACCAAUGUGUAGAAAAUUGCUUAUGGGAUUCUUUGAAUGACUUUUUCAUUGCGGGAAAUAUUAAAAAUGAACCUGCCAACCUUCCACACUCCUGCUUCUUUCAAGCCACCAACUCAAGAGAUCUGUCUCUGCCUCCUACGUGCUGGAAUCAAAGGUAUGUGACACCAUGCCUUGCUUGUCUUUUUAUGGACACUGAUUUUUAUCUACUUUUGAUAGCUGCUGAGGUAGGUUUAAAUCUGAGAAUCUGCCUAGCUUUUCCAUGGUGACGAUCCAUUUUAAGUUCUUACAAAUAACAACAGAGCUCUACUUUCUCUGUGUGUUUUCCAACAUUCCUAUUACCUACUUUUAAAAAUCAUAGUCAUCUUAGGAGAAGGGUUAUUUCGUGGGUUUUUAAAUUUUUCUCUUGGGGACCUAGGAUAAGUUUCCUUAAGCAAAGUGUUGCCAAAUGACUUCUGCAGCUUCUGUUUGUCACACUUUUAUUCUUUGUUUGGUUUUGUUUUUGUUUUUUGAGACUGUGUACUGGCUGGUUUUGUGUGUCAACUUGACUCAAGCUGGAGUUAUCACAGAGAAAGGAGCUUCCCUUGAGGAAAUGCCUCUAUAAAAUCCCGAUUAAUGAUCAAGGGGGAGAGUCCAGCCCAUGGAGGGUGGUGCCAUCCCUGGGCUGGUAGUCCUGGGUUCUAUAAGAAAGCAAGCUGGCAAGCCAGAGGAAGCAAUCCAGUAAGCAGCACCCCUCCAUGGCCUCUGCAUCAGCUCCUGCCUCCAGGUUCCUGCCUUGUGUGACUUCCUGUCCUGACUUCCUUUGGUGAUGAACAGCAAUGUGGAAACGUAAGCUGGAUAAAUGCAACUUGCUUCUUGGCCAUGGUGUUUGUACAAGAAUACAAACCCUGACUAAGACAGACUGGGUCUGUACAUACCUCUGGCUAUCCUGGAACUCACUUUGUAAACCAAGCUAGCUCAGACUCUACUUCCCGAGUGCUGGGGUUUAAGCUGUGUGGUACUAUGCUGGCUGUGGGCCUGUGUACUGGGGGCUUUUCACGGAGAUCUCUGGCCCAGCUGGGCGCAAGGCUUCAGGCAAAGGGGAGAGAGUGGGAGCAGGGAGAGGGAGUUGUCUCCACUGCCUCCACAGCAGCAGCUGGCUCCACCUCAGUCACCUCAGUUGCUCCAAGACACUGCUGUACCAGUCACCCUGCACUGAGUCAGGCCGGACUAAGCCAAUGAGAGGCUGACUAGCCAGAGAGGAGUGUGUGAGUGUGAGUGUGUGUGUGUGUGUGUGUGUGUGUGUGUGUGUGUGUGUGUGGCUUCUGGUGGUGUUUCAGGAGAACAGACCUCUUCCCAAGUGGCAGCUCUUAUGACAGAAGCUCUCAGACAAUGGAGUAGUUCUCACACACCUUUAUUCCUCCUGGAUGAGACCCUUAGAUACAGUUUUGGGGUGGGUCAUGGUCUGAAGGCAGGUACUUCCCAUUGGGUUGGUCUGAGAGUUUGGGAAUACCUUAUCUGCAUGUGGGAGGGCUUGGGGUGCUGCCCCUAUGUGACUGAUGGCCACAGACCUCUCUAUGGGGGGACUGUGGGGGACUAUGUAGCUAUGUGACAGGAGCCAAGGGUCCAGGAGCAUGGCAAAGCACCCACGGUCCCUUGCAGGUUACCCACUGAGGGGUCACCUGUGGGGUCACCAGGGUUUUAGCCUGGGCUGGACCAGGGGCUGGGCUGCCUAUCACAGUCCACCACUCCACACUUGGCAAUAUUUUUAUUAUAUUAGUAUGUAUUAUACAUAUAUUAUGCUAAAUAUAUAUUAUAUAUAUUAUUUAUAUUAUACAUCAUGGUAAAUAUAUAUAAUAUAGUAAUACUAUAUUUAAUAUAGUAAUACUAUAUAUAUAUUUACCAUGAUAUGUAACAUAAAUAAUAUUACUAUAUUACUAUUCAUAUAUAUGAAGUUACAGAAAAAAAAUGAACACAGUGACUCAAUUUCUAAAUUAUGUGGCCUCAUUUAUACCAUGCCAUAGACAUAUUUGAUUAACAAGAAAAACAUCUAUUCAGAUUCUCCUUUAUAUUUUCUAGUGGCUCCUUUGCCUAAGGGAGGAAGACUAAAUUUCUUUGUAAGCUGCCAGAGCAGCCUCAGCCUCAUUCCUGCCUUAAGAUCCUGUAACAGGGUACUUGUAAUUGUUCUCCCAAAGUUCUUUCUGCCUGAGCCCCUCCCUUCCUCUGCCUAAUAAACACUUCCUGUUCAACCGCUCAAGAUCCAUCUUUAAUAUGGGCCACACCUUCUUCUAGCAGCCUUAUAAAGGACAUGAAAAAAGAAUGCUUGCUUGCUCUUGCUCUUCCUAGAAAUUACUUCACUGCCAUUAGAGCCUACUUCUUCAGGAUUCUGCUUAUACUGAAAACCAUGUGGGACAUCCAGCCUUGUGGACUGAACAACUUCUGGCUUCUUGGACCUUUCACUGUUAGUCAGCCAUUGUUGGACCACAGCCUAUAAGUCGUUCUAAUAAAUC
rnacentral:lncRNA from 1 species